CAGCAGCCGCGGGAAUACGUAGGGUGCGAGCGUUAAUCGGAAUUACUGGGCGUAAAGCGUGCGCAGGCGGUUCGUUAAGACAGAUGUGAAAUCCCCGGGCUUAACCUGGGAACUGCAUUUGUGACUGACGGGCUAGAGUAUGGCAGAGGGGGGUAGAAUUCCACGUGUAGCAGUGAAAUGCGUAGAGAUGUGGAGGAAUACCGAUGGCGAAGGCAGCCCCCUGGGCCAAUACUGACGCUCAUGCACGAAAGCGUGGGGAGCAAACAGGAUUAGAGACCCCAGUAGUCCCUGUCUCUUAUAC
rnacentral:rRNA from 1 species